GUCAGCGACCAUACGACGUUGAAAGCGCCGGUUCUCGUCCGAUCACCUAAGGUAAGCAACGUUCGGCUCUGCCAGUACUUACAUGGGUGACCGGCUGGGAAUACCGGGUGUUGCUGGCU
rnacentral:rRNA from 1 species